CAAACCACAAGAAGUGUAGUAGCCAAAAUAUUUCUUGUAGCUGCCUUUGAAUUUUGCUGUAAGUGAGGGAAACGAAGCUUAACUUUGCUUCUGUUUGAGUGGGCAUUGAUCCAAGCCAAAGUUGAUUUAUUUUGGUUGAUUGGGCACCGAAAAUCUUCUUGUGGCCUCUGAUUUUGCCGCCAAACAAGGAGGAGGCGAUAUCUUCAAGGAACCCUUCUAGUUGAUAGUCGUGGUCUGGAUUCAACUCGUUGAAGCAUCUUUUGUUUGUUUACAGAUCGAAACCGGCCGGGAACGAUGGUUUAGCGGAUUUGAUCAGAGUUCCAAGGAUGUUAUUUUGAGCUGAGCACGUUAGAAUUUUGUAGUUUUGUAUUAGGCUUUGGUAAUUGUAAAUUAGUCUAGACUGUAUUUGUUAUCUUGGACUUUUAUAGGGACUUUAUGAUUACUUUAUGAAAUAGAUAGAUGUUUGGAAUGCGAA